UACUUCCGUUCCGCACGAGCGCCUAUCUGGGCCGCUUGGGCCUAAUCAUCAUCACAAUACAUCGUUCGCUCAUCCAACACCCCUCCCGUCGAUUCCUCCCGCACACAGCGCCCUGACGCCUCUCCCUUCCCUGUACCGAACAACAGGAAACCCUCGCGCAGCCGCCGCUCCUCCCUCGCAUAUCGUGCACCGCCGCUCGAAGACCCCUCCACCCCCAGUGCUCGCCGACGACCCCUCGUGCGCAAACCUCCUUCCGCCGUUCCUCGUCCUCCGCGCGGUGCCACCGCUAGCGCCCCGUGCUCUCCACGAUCUGCAUCUCGCCGGUGGCCACGCCUUCACGGAGUUCCGCGACUCGGCGCCGUCCUCCGACAGUACCGAUGGCGCCGCCACGGACGAGGCCGGGGAGCUCGACUUCGAUGCCCGUUGACGGCCGUGGCGGCGCGCUGGUGCCACAUGGACGAUGCUCGUGCUGGCUCCGUCCUCCUGCCUCUCGCCUCCCUCCUCUGCCUCAUUUCAGUUCUCUUUUUUCAGUUCUUUUGUUGGGGUCAGGAAUAUCUGCUGCAGCUUAUAACGACGGACCCCUUCAUAUUUCUCUACAGGAAGAAGCUACAGGCCAGUUUCUAGCUCUAUUGUUUCUGAAAGUCAGGCUGCAAGAUGCGAAGUCUUGUGAGUGCUGCAAGAGAUACUGGACCCAUUUGAAUGGAAAGGUCAAUUGUUUUGUCACGUAGCUGGACAGAAAGUCUAGGCAUAGCAUGAUAAGCAUAAUGGAUUGCUUGUUCAUCUGACUCGAUUGCAAUGAGAACUGUUUUAACGCUAUUUUUUCUAACAAAUUAACAUUUUUGCAGGUCAUACCAGAGAGCUUUUUGAACUAUUGUGUAUGGAAGUUGUCAAGAACCAUCAAACUAGAAGCCCAUGAUGAUAAUGUAUACGAUGUCGGAAUCACUGAGCUUAGAAACAAAACAAUACUCAGAUCUGGAUGGGAGGCAUUUGUCGAUGCCCAAUCGUAUAGCAGAGAAAGGCUCGUUGAUGUUCCGAUACUGUGGAAGUGCUCGCUUCAAGGUCUUGUUCUUUGAUUCCAGUGGUUGUGAGAAAGUGGUGUUCUGUGCUCGCAUACAGAGCAAUAGUGGUGAGCAAGAACCAAGCACAUAUUCUUAGGACGUGGAGGAUCAGAUGGAUGCCAGAGUGGAAGCUCUAUCUAUUGAAGAAAACGAGCAAAGAAAGAUGCACUUUCUCCAUCUAGGAGAAGACAGUCCUCAUGAGCGUGACUCUGAUGAGUCGGAUGAACACACAAUCCAUUAGAUUUUUCUCAAAAUAGGAGUGUAUAGCCUAAUUAUCUUGAAAAAUACCCCAUCAUUAGCUUUCUUCUCAAGAUACAUUUGUUCUGAUAGAUAAUUGAAUAUUGUUGUUUGUGCAUGUUCCAUGAAAAUAAGCGACCGUAAAAUUUUCGAACCUAUUAUCUGAAGUACUUGCUCACCUAGACCAUCCGUAAUUUGAUAAUAAACAUUAUCUGGUUUCAUGCUCCAUGAUGCAUUUCAUACUAGAAAGCCUAUUUCACUUUGCAUGUAGCUUGCUUCACAUACUUGAUGUAAGAUAUCAUAGCAGAGUGCAUCUUACAUUUUGAUGUCUUAAAAGGUGUAUCAUCGCAAUGGUAAACUUUGUUGCAUCAUACUAGAAGAAUGACACCAUCGAGUUUCAAAAGAUCUUAAAGGUCAGUGUUCUUUAACAUAUGUUUUGCGCUUGACUGCAGCAAUCCUAAACCCUUCAUUUAUUUGUUCACUGAUUCUUCUAGAAUUGUUGCAACCAUUCUUAUUAAAUCUUACAAACAGAGGUGUUAACGAUCACACAACAUGUUUGGUGCAUGCCAUAAACUUAUGUGGUACCGGGGAAAUGCUUCUUACGACCACCACCCCCACUAAUUUCCCCGAGUUAAGACCAGAUAUGAGGUUGAAUAUAAAUGUGUAGGAACUCAAUGAUAUGAAUCCAAACAUUUCAAAAGUUUUGAAAGUAAUGAUCCUUUGUCAAUAGCAGGCAAGAAGCUUCUGAUUAUUAGAAACAGUUUGACGGACUUCAACAACAAUGUCUACUAUCUUCCAUCCAUCUUGUCAUCAUGUUUCCUCGACUACUUUAAUGUCUAAUGAAAUAAAUAAAAAUACGUUUUUUUUGUAAGAAAGAGGGUAGCGUUGGGGCUAAAUACCCUUCUCUGUUAUUCUUACUGAAACUAAAGGUGCAACCAGCCCUUCAUGUAAUGGCAAAUGUCACUGCAAUUAGAUAAGAUGGGGGUAUACUUGCAGAUGAUCUAGCUCAGUAUUCUGUAAAAUGUAACUUGAUUUACAUGCUGAUGUGAUAAUGCGGGUGUUGAAGAAUAUGAUUAGUCUCACCAGGUGUGAUGAGCAUAUGCACUUGCAUGUGUUAAAGAACAGUGUAUCUAAAAUAUUUUUGUUGAUCAAUCAUUAUUUUUGGCUUGCCUCUGAUUUAUGCUCUUUCUUGUGCUUUCUUAGUAACAGAGUUUUUACGGUUUUUCCAUCGAUGAUAUUAUCAGUACAAACAUUUAGAAUGUUAAAAACCUCAUAUGGAACACUAUCAUGAACUUGGAUCCAUUUCUCUUGCAAGUGCGAAGAAAAUCCACUGUCUACAGUAUUGUCAGUUGUCACAAUGCACAAAACUUGGCAGGCCACACUAGAUAUCUGGUGUAAUGGUGGAUUAUUGAGCAAUAAUCUUCAAGGUGAACAGUCUAAUAUUUCAUUCACAUGUUAUUUUGAGAAAAUGGUUGUUAAAAAUAUGAUUAGCCCACCAGGUUCGAUGGCCAUAUGCAUUUGCAGGCGUUGUAGAAAAAAAUGUUUAAUGUGCUCGGAGAGCAAUACCCAUAUACCUAUGAUGAGAUAAUAUAAUGGAUCGUACCUCAACUUAUUUACCAUGGUGUUUGGAAUUAUUUCGAACUUGUGUGUAACCUGCCAUCUAUGCAAGUUACUCAGGCACAACUAGCUCUAGAGGUUUUUGUUUUUCUAAUUUGUAUGCAUGCUAUUAUGUUUUUUUCAGCAAAUUAUUUAUCAUCAGAACUAACAUGGCUACUGUUAUGUAUUCACAAUACCAUGUUAGGCUUGUGACUUUUGAAGGGGUCAAGAUGUUAGGCUCGAACUUCACAUUCUGCAAUACCAUAACCUCAAGGCACUCAUCUGCUUUAUUUUACCAUGCCCUAUAAAUUAGUUUCCAUGAUUAGUCAUAUGUUUCCUUUUACUAGAGAUGAGGGAUCCCCGUGUUUCCUUUUUACUGAUAUACCAAUCAGAUAUUCGCUCAGAUGCUUGUGAUAAGUAUCUAUUUGAGGCUUCUUCUCAUUGCCACCGCUGUUUCUUGGAAAAAACACGUUUUUUUUUUUUUGCUUUAACCAUGAUGCUUGUUGGAGUUUUGGAGUCAAGUUCACUUGCUCGGGAGUUUAGCAAAGUGCAAGAAGCAACAGUCUCCAUUUUCAGGAUUAUCGAUAGGAUAUCCAAGAUUUACAUAAGGUCAAAGGUAGGAACAAUACUAGACAGAGUGAAAGGGAAUAUAUAGAGUUGGAUCUUCACAUGUUUGUGCUUUAGGAUACCAUUUUGAAAUAUGCGUUUGGUUACAUGAAAAUAUAUGAGUAGUAACUCUUACUGUUAGUUGUACGGUAAUUUUGAUAAGUUUAAGUUCAUGAAAGAAUACAACCAAAUCUUUUUUUAAUUCUAUAUAUAUUAAAUAUAGAAUAUUUUCUUACCGUGCGUGUACCUUCCCUUGCAGCUUAUGUAAUCACUU